CAGUAGCCACGGGAAUACGAAGGGGGCUAGCGUUGCUCGGAAUUACUGGGCGUAAAGGGCGCGUAGGCGGACAGUUCAGUCGGGGGUGAAAGCCCGGGGCUCAACCUCGGAAUUGCCUUCGAUACUGGCUGUCUUGAGUAUGAGAGAGGUGUGUGGAACUCCGAGUGUAGAGGUGAAAUUCGUAGAUAUUCGGAAGAACACCAGUGGCGAAGGCGGCACACUGGCUCAUUACUGACGCUGAGGCGCGAAAGCGUGGGGAGCAAACAGGAUUAGAUACCCCUGUAGUCCCUGUCUCUUAUAC
rnacentral:rRNA from 1 species